rnacentral:rRNA from 1 species
UCUUAUAGCCCCACAACCCCCCUAGGCACCGUGUGCUUGGUUUUAGGUUGGGGCGACCGCGGAGUACAAUAAAACCUCCACAAUGAAUGGGAACACCCCCUUAUCUGAGGGCCACACCCCCUAAGAAUUAGAACACUAACAUAAAAUGAUCCAUUACUUGAUCAAUGAACCAAGUUACCCUGGGGAUAACAGCGCAAUCCAUUUCAAGAGCCCCUAUCGACAAAUGGGUUUACGACCUCGAUGUUGGAUCAGGGUACCCCAGUGGUGCAGCAGCUACUAACGGUUCGUUUGUUCAACGAUUAAAACCCU